rnacentral:lncRNA from 1 species
AUUGGGCAUCUAUCAAAUAUAUUUGAAUGAAUACAUCAAUGGGACAGAAGACUGAAACAUGGAGAAGCAGUAUCUCAUGGGAAGUAAGGGUAGAAAUUCUCUAAGUACAACACAUCUGCGGAGAGACAUACCAUCUCUGACUAAAUCUCCAGUAUUGAAGAAGUGGAUGUUCCAAGCUGCAUACGACUUCCUAAGUGCUUAGAAAACAAAUGCAGCGCCUUGAACAGGAUUAGAUGCAUUGUCUUUGCAAAUAUCCUAAAUUUGGGCACUGGUUCUGACACUUGCAGGUAUGUGUCCUUGGGCAAGGCAUUU